rnacentral:rRNA from 1 species
GUGGGGAAUUUUGGACAAUGGGGCAGCCUGAUCCAGCCAUGCCGCGUGAGUGAAGAAGGCCUUCGGGUUGUAAAGCUCUUUCGGCCGGGAAGAAAUCGCAUUGGUUAAUACCUGGUGUGGAUGACGGUACCGGAAGAAGAAGCACCGGCUAACUACGUGCCAGCAGCCGCGGUAAUACGUAGGGUGCGAGCGUUAAUCGGAAUUACUGGGCGUAAAGCGUGCGCAGGCGGUUUUGUAAGACAGACGUGAAAUCCCCGGGCUCAACCUGGGAACUGCGCUUGUGACUGCAAGGCUAGAGUACGGCAGAGGGGGGUGGAAUUCCACGUGUAGCAGUGAAAUGCGUAGAGAUGUGGAGGAACACCAAUGGCGAAGGCAGCCCCCUGGGUCGAUACUGACGCUCAUGCACGAAAGCGUGGGUAGCAAACAGGAUUAGAUACCCUGGUAGUCCACGCCCUAAACGAUGUCAACUAGGUGUUGGGAGGGUAAAACCUUUUAGUACCGGAGCUAACGCGUGAAGUUGACCGCCUGGGGAGUACGGCCGCAAGGUUAAAACUCAAAGGAAUUGACGGGGACCCGCACAAGCGGUGGAUGAUGUGGAUUAAUUCGAUGCAACGCGAAAAACCUUACCUACCCUUGACAUGUCAGGAAGUCUUGAGAGAUUGAGAUGUGCCCGAAAGGGAACCUGAACACAGGUGCUGCAUGGCUGUCGUCAGCUCGUGUCGUGAGAUGUUGGGUUAAGUCCCGCAACGAGCGCAACCCUUGUCGUUAAUUGCCAUCAUUUAGUUGGGCACUUUAGCGAGACUCCCGGUGACAAACCGGAGGAAGGUGGGGAUGACGUCAAGUCCUCAUGGCCCUUAUGGGUAGGGCUUCACACGUCAUACAAUGGUCGGUACAAAGGGUCGCCAACCCGCGAGGGGGAGCCAAUCCCAGAAAGCCGAUCGUAGUCCGGAUUGCAGGCUGCAACUCGCCUGCAUGAAGUCGGAAUCGCUAGUAAUCGUGGAUCAGCAUGUCACGGUGAAUACGUUCCCGGGCCUUGUACACA